CAUUGGAAUCUUUCUAUGAGAAGUUCGAUCCAGAUUUCAUCAACAUCAGGACAAAGGCCAGAGAGGUGUUGCAGAGGGAAGACGAUCUUAAUGAAAUUGUACAGCUUGUAGGAAAAGAUGCGCUAGCAGAAGGUGACAAAAUCAUCUUGGAAACAGCUAAGCUACUGAGGGAAGACUACUUGCUCAAAACGCGUUUACACCGAGUGCACUUUUGGAUCCAUAUCUUUAAUCUGCAGCUGCAUUAAAUGGUUUAGCUGGUCCACUCCAUGGUUUGGCUAAUCAGGAAGUUUUUCUGUGGAUCAAAUCAGUUAUCAAGGAAUGUGGAGAAAAUAUAGCAAAGGAACAGCCAUAAGAUUAUGUCUGGACAACGUUAAACAAUGGAAAGGUAAACAAAAUUACAUUCUCUGCUUAGCCCUUUUACAAGCUUACAUGCUCUGCAUUUUGAAGUGUGUUUCUCCUCUUCCUGAGCUGUGGGCUGUGACAGUGGGGAGUUUCUUUUGUUUUUUGGUAUGUUGAAGAUGCGAAGGAGUUCUAAUGGUUCUAUUGAUAUUUGAUAAUGAAGUCCUCUACUGAUUUAUUUUGGGUGUUACUUCAUGCUGUUGGAAUUCAGGUGAGGCUUUAAUUUUAUGGAUUCUUCUUACGAAUGUUCUCACUUCUCAAGUAGUCAGUGAAAAUUGAGAACAUCACCUCCUUACUUCUUGUUGGUUAAAUGUGUUUUUGGAUUGUUGUUACCUCCAAAUCCUAGUUCCUUUCUUCCUUGGACUUAUUGGCUUGCAGGUGAAAGUGUUCUGUCUAACACGAUAAAGUACCUCCAUUCUGGUUACUUUUUGUCAGAUUCUACGAUUGGGGAAGUGAUGUUUCCUCAACUCAUCAUCUCGUCUCUUGAACCUUAAUAUUAAAGCCUAUGUUGGGGUUUCCAUUUGUGAAGUUUUCAUAGGAAGGUCUUUGGAGUUCACUGAAGUUGAAUUUCUUCUUGAAAGGAAUGUUUCCCUGAAUGUCAAGAAAACGCAACGUAUCGAUGCAAGCCUUUUUUCUGAAUUGUGACGUCUGUUGCCAUACCAACUGUUUGGUAAAGUACUUGUGAGAGAUGUUUUCCUGUAUGAGUCGGGAUUUGCAUCCUUGCAGAAAGAGACAAGUGAGUCUUUGUGCCCUGAUUGGUUCAAUUGCACAAACAUUUUGUGUAGGAAGACACAACUCCGAGAUUCUUACAAGCGAUCUACGUUAAUUGAACUAUCUAUUCCGUUUCAGUUAAUAUCUGGGGAUGGCUUUGAUCUGCUAGCCGUUCCUUGUUACCUUCUUCAUCACUUUUGGGGUUCUUAGUUGCCUUGCCUUUCGCUGGUUCAUGUAUAACUUGAUGAAAGUCUUAACUUGCGUCUUUCCCAUUUUCUGCUAUUUCAAAGCGUGAGAAGUAACCUCAAACUCAUGUUGUUGUUGG